UAGGGAAUCUUCCACAAUGGACGAAAGUCUGAUGGAGCAACGCCGCGUGAGUGAAGAAGGUUUUCGGAUCGUAAAACUCUGUUGUAAGGGAAGAACACGUACGAGAGUAACUGCUCGUACCUUGACGGUACCUUAUUAGAAAGCCACGGCUAACUACGUGCCAGCAGCCGCGGUAAUACGUAGGUGGCAAGCGUUGUCCGGAAUUAUUGGGCGUAAAGCGCGCGCAGGCGGUUCUUUAAGUCUGAUGUGAAAGCCCACGGCUCAACCGUGGAGGGUCAUUGGAAACUGGAGAACUUGAGUACAGAAGAGGAAAGCGGAAUUCCACGUGUAGCGGUGAAAUGCGUAGAGAUGUGGAGGAACACCAGUGGCGAAGGCGGCUUUCUGGUCUGUAACUGACGCUGAGGCGCGAAAGCGUGGGGAGCAAACAGGAUUAGAUACCCUGGUAGUCCACGCCGUAAACGAUGAGUGCUAAGUGUUAGGGGGUUUCCGCCCCUUAGUGCUGCAGCUAACGCAUUAAGCACUCCGCCUGGGGAGUACGACCGCAAGGUUG
rnacentral:rRNA from 1 species